UCGCGGAGAAGGGUAAAGAUUUAUCGGUAUCGGAGGAGCCUGCGGCCUAUCAGCUUGUUGGUGGGGUAAUGGCCUACCAAGGCAACGACGGGUAGCUGAUGUGAGAGCAUGAUCAGCCAGAAUGGGACUGAGACACGGCCCAUACUCCUACGGGAGGCAGCAGUAAAGAAUCUUCCGCAAUGGGCGAAAGCCUGACGGAGCGACACCGCGUGGGGGACGACGUCCUAACGGAUGUAAACCCCUUUUGUGUGGGAGCAAAUUUUUGAGUUGACCACACGAAUAAGCACCGGCUAAUCACAUGCCAGCAGCCGCGGUAAUACGUGAGGUGCAAGCGUUAUCCGGAAUCACUGGGCGUAAAGCGUCCGCAGCCGGAAACUUAAGUCCGAAGUAAAAUUGUCUCGCCUAGCGGGGCAAGCGUUUCGGAAACUGAUUUUCUAGAGUCCGAUAGAGGUAAGCGGAAUUCCCGUUGUAGGGGUAAAAUCCGUAGAUAACGGGAGGAACACCAAAUGCGAAGGCAGCUUACUGGAUCGGUACUGACGGUCAGGGACGAAAGCGUGGGGAGCGAACGGGAUUAGAUACCCCGGUAGUCCACGCCCUAAACGUUGGAUGCUCGGUUUGUGAGGGAUUCGACCCCCUUACGAGCCCAAGCUAACGCGUUAAGCAUCCCGCCUGUAGAGUACGGUCGCAAGACUAAAAUAUAAAGGAAUAGACGGGGACCCGCACAAGCGGUGGAGCAUCGGGUUUAAUUCGAUAAUAAGCGAGGAACCUUACCAGGGUUUGACAUCCCGAGAAUCUGCCAGAAAUGGUGGAGUGCCUUUUAGGAACUCGGUGACAGGUGCUGCAUGGUCGUCGUCAGCUCGUGCCUUGAGGUGUUCGGUUAAGUCCGUAAACGAGCGCAACCCUCGCCGUAUGUUAAAUUUUCAUACGGGACUGCCUCGCCAAACGAGGAGGAAGGUGAGGAUGACGUCAGAUCAGCAUGGCCCUUAUACUCUGGGCGACACCGGUGCUACAAUGGUCGGUACAAAGGGUAGCCAACCCGCAAGGGGGAGCCAAUCCUCAUAAGCCGACCUCAGUUCGAAUUGGAGGCUGCAACUCGCCUCCAUGAAGUUGGAAUCGCUAGUAACCGUAUAUCAGCCAUGAUACGGUGAAUGUGUUCCCGGGUCUUGUACUCACCGCCCGUCAAGCCAUGAAAGGAAGGGGCACCCGAAGGCUCUCAC
rnacentral:rRNA from 1 species